rnacentral:rRNA from 1 species
GACAGAGGUGGCAAGCGUUGUCCGGAAUUACUGGGCGUAAAGAGCGCGUAGGUGGCUAGAUAAGUCCGGUGUGAAAUCCUUCGGCUUAACCGGGGAAUGGCAUCGGGGACUGUAUAGCUAGAGGACGGAAGAGGAGAGCGGAAUUCCCGGUGUAGCGGUGAAAUGCGUAGAGAUCGGGAGGAAGGCCGGUGGCGAAGGCGGCUCUCUGGGACGGUACUGACGCUGAGACGCGAAAGCGUGGGGAGCAAACAGG